UUUGAUAAUCCUAAGCUCACAACUCUCAUCAACCAAACCAGAAUUGCAACAACGGACUCUAACUUCUCCUGAUGUUCAGACAAGCUA